rnacentral:rRNA from 2 species
GCGAACGGGUGAGUAACACGUGAGUAACCUGCCCCUGACUCUGGGAUAAGCGUUGGAAACGACGUCUAAUACUGGAUAUGAUCACUGGCCGCAUGGUCUGGUGGUGGAAAGAUUUUUUGGUUGGGGAUGGACUCGCGGCCUAUCAGCUUGUUGGUGAGGUAAUGGCUCACCAAGGCGACGACGGGUAGCCGGCCUGAGAGGGUGACCGGCCACACUGGGACUGAGACACGGCCCAGACUCCUACGGGAGGCAGCAGUGGGGAAUAUUGCACAAUGGGCGAAAGCCUGAUGCAGCAACGCCGCGUGAGGGAUGACGGCCUUCGGGUUGUAAACCUCUUUUAGUAGGGAAGAAGCGAAAGUGACGGUACCUGCAGAAAAAGCACCGGCUAACUACGUGCCAGCAGCCGCGGUAAUACGUAGGGUGCAAGCGUUGUCCGGAAUUAUUGGGCGUAAAGAGCUCGUAGGCGGUUUGUCGCGUCUGCUGUGAAAUCCCGAGGCUCAAC